UACGAAGGGGGCUAGCGUUGCUCGGAAUGACUGGGCGUAAAGGGCGCGUAGGCGGUUCGUACAGUCAGACGUGAAAUUCCCGGGCUCAACCUGGGGGCUGCGUUUGAUACGUACGGGCUUGAGUUCGGAAGAGGGUCGUGUAAUUCCCAGUGUAGAGGUGAAAUUCGUAGAUAUUGGGAAGAACACCGGUGGCGAAGGCGGCGACCUGGUCCGAUACUGACGCUGAGGCGCGAAAGCGUGGGGAGCAAACAGG
rnacentral:rRNA from 1 species